CACGGCUCUACUUAAAUACGGACUAGAGGUUUUUCUGAAAUAUAUCAUGUAAAAAGAGAUUUCUCUUAAGAGCUUAAUUGAAGUCUGUAUGGAUUUGACGUUUUGUCUGUCUGAUGUUUAACACGCAUCAUUCUGCUUUUGCCUCAGACUGACGGUGAUCCUGAUAACCCCACAGUUCUGAAUAGUCCAGCACCUUCACUCUUCUGCAGUUUUUGAAGAAAGGACAAAAAGUUAUUGAGGUGAGACAGGAAGAAUGGGGCUGGCUCAUAGUCUGCUCUCAAACCUUCAUUACUUGCUCCUUCACUGCAGAUACGAACUGACAGUAUCCCUCCUUUCUACACGCCCUUUCCGCUGACCUUUCCUGUCUGCUUUUCUCGGUUGCAGGCAGGAGUGAUGAAGCCUCUCAGUGCUUAGGCCAGUAUGACUAAGACAGUACAAGAUUACCUGUGACAUGGGCAGGGGAACAGAGGCACUAGAGUGUUUGUUCAGUGACACGGGCAUGCUGCAGUGCAUUGUGGGGCCGGAGUCGAUGCAUGUUCCAAUGAACUGCCUCAUUCAUCUCGAUAUGACCACUCUGUGGUCUCUCUCUCUCCCUAAUGGGUAGGAACAGCUGUGUAAAAGAGCACCUCUCACUAACAUCAGCCAUUAUUUCAUUACCCUGUAUGUUGAAGUGUGCAGAGAGCCGAAGUACGUUAAUGAAGACAGCACCAUGUCAACACGGAUUGGAUGUGGCAUUUAUUACAGAUAUUACAGCCUCAAUCAUCCUGAUGCAUUACACACACGAUUGUGUGAAAUGUUGAAAGUGAGCAUGGGUUUUUAUAUUGAUUGACUUUAUUUCAUGUUAUAUAGACGGGAAAAUUCCCACCAGCUUGUUGUUUCACAGUAGAAAUGUUUUUGACGCUUCUUUGGAGAUUGGAAAAUAGCUCUUGGAUUUGCAGAGAUGUCUCUGAAUAAAUGAC
ensembl:lncRNA